GAUGAACGCUGGCGGCGUGCCUAAUACAUGCAAGUCGAGCGAACAGACGAGGAGCUUGCUCCUCUGACGUUAGCGGCGGACGGGUGAGUAACACGUGGAUAACCUACCUAUAAGACUGGGAUAACUUCGGGAAACCGGAGCUAAUACCGGAUAAUAUAUUGAACCGCAUGGUUCAAUAGUGAAAGACGGUUUUGCUGUCACUUAUAGAUGGAUCCGCGCCGCAUUAGCUAGUUGGUAAGGUAACGGCUUACCAAGGCAACGAUGCGUAGCCGACCUGAGAGCGUGAUCGGCCACACUGGAACUGAGACACGGUCCAGACUCCUACGGGAGGCAGCAGUAGGGAAUCUUCCGCAAUGGGCGAAAGCCUGACGGAGCAACGCCGCGUGAGUGAUGAAGGUCUUCGGAUCGUAAAACUCUGUUAUUAGGGAAGAACAAAUGUGUAAGUAACUAUGCACGUCUUGACGGUACCUAGUCAGAAAGCCACGGCUAACUACGUG
rnacentral:rRNA from 1 species